CCUACGGGGGGCUGCAGUGGGGAAUAUUGCACAAUGGGCGCAAGCCUGAUGCAGCCAUGCCGCGUGUGUGAAGAAGGCCUUCGGGUUGUAAAGCACUUUCAGCGGGGAGGAAGGCGUUAAGGUUAAUAACCUUGGCGAUUGACGUUACCCGCAGAAGAAGCACCGGCUAACUCCGUGCCAGCAGCCGCGGUAAUACGGAGGGUGCGAGCGUUAAUCGGAAUUACUGGGCGUAAAGCGCACGCAGGCGGUCUGUCAAGUCGGAUGUGAAAUCCCCGGGCUCAACCUGGGAACUGCAUUCGAAACUGGCAGGCUAGAGUCUUGUAGAGGGGGGUAGAAUUCCAGGUGUAGCGGUGAAAUGCGUAGAGAUCUGGAGGAAUACCGGUGGCGAAGGCGGCCCCCUGGACAAAGACUGACGCUCAGGUGCGAAAGCGUGGGGAGCAAACAGGAUUAGAUACCCUGGUAGUC
rnacentral:rRNA from 1 species